CUCACUAAUUAAGCCUUAGUCAUAAUAAAAUUUUGAUUGGAUAAAUGAUAAGUUUGGUGUGAUUUAAAAAAAAAAUAAAAAAUUUUCAAAUUGUGUUUGGAGUUGGAAUAAAGGUCUUUACAAGGCAAAGGGAGUUUGGAGAGACGAUGCUAAGCACGAAAAUGCAUGCAGAGGUUAUUUCCCGCCAUCUCAUAUUCACUCUUCAAAAGUCUCCCACUUACCCUACCAAAAACCCAUGUCCACCACUUUCUGAGAAGCUAUUAUCUCUCUUGAAAAAAUGUUUCUCCACCAGGAAACUGCGAGAAAUACAUACCCAAAUGCUCGUAAACUCCAUUCUAAGGCCCAAUUUCCUUCUAUCCAAAGCCAUUGAUCUUAAAGACUUUACUUACGCUUCCCUGCUCUUCCACCGUAUCCCUGAACCCAAUGACUAUGCCUUCAAUAUCAUGAUCCGGGGACUAACCACUACAUGGCAAAAAUACGAACUUACUCUUGAAUUUUACUAUCAAAUGAGGGUUUUAGGGAUAAACCCCAAUAAUUUCACAUACCCUUUUCUUUUCAUGGCUUGUUCUAACCUGUUAGCGUUAAGCCAUGGGCGUGUUGCCCAGUCAUCAGUAUUUAAGUUUGGUUUGGAUAGGGAUGGACAUGUGAGCCACUCCAUUAUUACUAUGUACGCCAGGUGUGGUCAACUAGUGUGUGCACGGAAGGUGUUCGAUGAAAUUACCGAAAGAGACUCUGUUUCUUGGAAUUCAAUGAUUUCGGGGUAUUCGCAGAUGGGUUAUGCCCGGGAUGCGACUGCACUAUUUUAUGAGAUGAAGGAUGCGGGUUAUGAGCCUAAUGAGAUGACUUUGGUGAGUGUCCUUGGAGCGUGCGGGGACUUGGGAAAUUUGAGUUUGGGGACAUGGGUGGAGGAGUUUGUUGUUAAAAAUAAGUUAAAGCUCAAUUCUUAUUUGGGGUCUGCUUUAAUUGGUAUGUAUGGAAAAUGUGGUGAUUUGAGCUCUGCAAGGAGGAUUUUUGAUAGUAUGAUUAAGAAAGAUCGCGUGACUUGGAAUGCCAUGAUCUCAGGAUAUGCUCAAAAUGGAUUGUCAGAUGAAGCAAUUAUGUUAUUUAAUUUCAUGAAAGAGGCUGGUAUUGAUCCAGAUAAAAGAACAUUGGUAGCAUUGCUUUCUGCUUGUGCUUCAGUGGGGGCUUUAGAUAUGGGAAAAUGGGUUGAUAAGUAUGCAUCACAAAGAGGCCUCAUGAAUGAUAUCUACGUCGGUACUGCAUUACUUGACAUGUAUGCCAAGUGUGGGAACUUAGACGAUGCACUGAGGAUUUUCAAUAAUAUGCCUAAGAAAAAUGAGGUUUCUUGGAAUGCAAUGAUAUCUGCAUUUGCUUUUCAUGGGAGAGCCACGGAAGCCAUAUCCCUAUUCAAACGCAUGAUUGCAGAGGGCGGAGCUACUCACCCGAAUGACAUUACCUUUGUUGGAGUACUUUCUGCUUGUGUUCAUGUUGGUUUGGUUGAUGAAGGUCGUCGAUGGUUUGAUAUGAUGAGUACAUCAUAUGGUUUGACCCCAAAAAUAGAGCAUUAUUCUUGCAUGGUUGAUCUUCUUGCACGUGCUGGACUUGUACAAGAAGCUUGGAACUUCAUUGAAAAAAUGACUGAAAAGCCAGAUGAAGUUUUAUUGGGGGCAUUACUUGCUGCUUGUCAGAAAUGCAAUAACGUAGAUAUCUCUGAGAGGGUAACUCAGCUUCUUCUGGAGUUGGAGCCAUCAAACUCUGGAAAUUACGUUAUCUCAUCAAAGAUAUAUGCAAAAUUAAAUAAGUGGGAAGAGUCAGCAAAGAUGAGAGUAUUAAUGAGAGAGAAGGGUGUCAGUAAGACACCUGGUUGUAGCUGGAUUGAGUUUGAGAAUCAACUUCAUGAGUUUCACGCUGGAGAUCUCUUAAAUGAUAGUUCAACUGAGAUUAACCUAAUAUUUAGAUUGCUAAACGAUGACCUGAAGAGAGAAGGUUAUGUUCCUAACCUUAGUGUUCUAUAAAAAAAUAUAAAGAAAUGUGGUUUUGCACUCACACUUGUCCCUCCAAAGAACAAACAUGGUAUCAUCCUUUUAUCAGGAACCAAACAUGCAUGGGUGAUAGUCUUCAGCCGCGACAAAAAAUUCUGAUGAUUUUGUAGUUAACGGUGCUGCAUAUUGUAGGCGUCUUGCAAGGCAGAUCUUGGGAAAUCAAGGCAUAUGUUCAUGACAAUGGGCAAAGUAGCAGCUCAGUUUACUAAGCCAAUUCAGUUCAACUGCAGCAAUUUUUGACCAUAACAGAACAGGUUUUUAUCUAAAUUGGGAACUCCAACCCAAAAAGAUAAUUUAGAAACCUAGUCAAUAAAGAAAAAGAAAACAUAUUUAUAGAAAAAGCUACUUUGAAAAAGAAAAGAAAUUUCGUCUCAUGUUUGCCACUUUAUUGAAAAACAUCAUUGUAUAUUCUUUUCAAGGAUUGCUUUAUAAAGUCAUCGAUUCUUUUACUGUUUAUAAUUUGAAUAGAAUACAUAAUUUGGUGUUUU